rnacentral:lncRNA from 1 species
CUGAAAUUCAGCAAUUUAAACCCUUUUAUAAACUGUUUUUAAAGACAAGUAUCAAUAGGCUUAUACUCUUUAUUUUGUAAUCAUCAAAAAGGAGAGAUUGAGGAUGAUAGUGUUAUUUUGAUGAUUAACAAGCAAUUAUCUAGAGUAUAUUAUAAGUUAAAUUGAUACUUCAUUUAUAAGUUCAUUACUCUCAGUAUAUUUGUAUGAAUUGAUAUAGAUACAUGUCUUUGUUCAUUUGAAUGAAUCUAACCUUGAGAUGCAGCAAAGUGUAGAUUGAGUCGACCCAAAGGUUGAUUGGGUCGACCUCGGCACAUCAAGAAGUCAUUUGGCACACUUCUGCAAAAUUGGCACAGAUGAACAGUGAGUUGGGUCGACCCAAGGUAAGCAUGAGUCGACCCAAACUUCAAGAACCUCAAAACAUGAAGGAAAUAUGUUCUCUGGAUUUACUGAGAGGGUCGACCCAAACAGUGGUUGAGUCGACCCAAGCUUGAGUCGACCCAAACUCUGAGAGGGUCGACCCA